rnacentral:rRNA from 1 species
UGGUGGAGUGAUUUGUCUGGUUAAUUCCGAUAACGAACGAGACCUUAACCUGCUAAAUAGUCACGUCAACCGCUAUUGGUUGGCGGCUUGACUUCUUAGAGGGACUGUUGACGUUUAGUCAACGGAAGUUUGAGGCAAUAACA